CACAAUCUCACCUGAGUGACUGGAAGACCUAGACCCCAUUUAAAGGCUGACUCCCAAGGAGGAAGGGUCUCUAUCUGGAGAUCACUCCUCUUGGAGCCCUUCUGUGUGCCCAGGACACAGGCAAGGUGAAGAGAGGUGAAGCAGUGAGCUCAAGGCAAAAUGGUAAAGUGAAAGCAGAGCACUGGAGUCCAUUUCAGUGUCAUCAUGAUGAGCCGAGCCAAUGUGAAUGUGCAGAUUUAUAAUGAAGUGCCAGGGAAGAAGUUUCUCUGGAGAUCCAUCCAGCCAUGGACUGUUUUGUUUUUUUCUUCAAACCUCAUCUGCUGGAGAUGGCUCCUUUUGAUAAACGAACUCAAAUCCAAGAAGCAUGGGGCAGAAUGUCCUCUAGGCUCAAUAGCAAUAAGCACAGAGAAAAUGCUGUUCCUUGCACCCAGGGCUUGGAGACAAAGCUGGGAAGGAAUGGAAGAGUUGGGGCACAUUAGGUGGCUGGAGGAAUGCUCUAAGCUCCCCAGACCCAAUCCAUCCCCUUCAUGCCUGUUCUGAUGUGCUCCAAACUGUCUGAAGUGACCCUGGAAUGGACCCUCCAACCAUCAUGCAUCUGCAUGUGCAUGGCCACCAAUCUAAACUAACCCUUUUACAUUGUUAUAUAUGGAACUUUUGGAUCAAGAGCAUGACAAAUUCAUUUCUGAGCUUGGUUAAAAGAUUAAUAACCUUUCAGCUGGCUAAAUGAAUAACACAGAUCUUGAGCAAGCAGCACUUGACCUUUUGCUGCUUUCCCACCCUGCAGUACCUGCCACAGGGAAAUGCUUGGCCAGAGAUGGAGUGAAUGCUGGGGAAAUGGAAACCUUGGCAGCUGUGUGGUCUUUGUAGGCACAAAAAGGCUGUGUGGCUGGAAUAUCACCUCCUCUCCCCUUUUCUGAUCAAUAAUGCAUUGUCCUGGGUAGGAUUUUGCUCAGAGUGGGACGCUGGCAUCCUUUAUGACCCUCUUUCCUGGCAUCUCUCUCUCAAGUGUGCAUUGAGAAGAAGCUGGGGAAGAGGAUGGGCUGUGAGGAAGGUGGACAAGGGGCUGUUGUUCCUAGCUUGCUCCCUGAGUCUGAAUGAAACUACCAGAAUAAGCUCAAAGGAACAAGGGAAGGUUAUUUUUCAUGCAAGGAUGUGAAACUCCUCUCCACAGGAUGUCAAAGGGGCUCCAAGGUUUUGAGUUCAAAAAUAGCCACAUAAGGUGCUGGAGCAAAAUGUGUUGUGGGUGACUGAGAGAAAAGAUCUGGCCAGAUGGACCACAGUUCUGACCAGAAGUACUGUCAUCCAGACCCAGCUGGGCUGCCCCAUCAGCAGCUGCCUCCCCCUGCCAGCUGUUUCCAGAUGCUACUUGGAUCUCCCUUU
ensembl:lncRNA